CCUACGGGGUGCACCAGUGGGGAAUAUUGGACAAUGGGCGAAAGCCUGAUCCAGCAAUGCCGCGUGUGAAGAAGGUCUUCGGAUUGUAAAGCACUUUCGACGGGGACGAUGAUGAUGGUACCCGUAGAAGAAGCCCCGGCUAACUUCGUGCCAGCAGCCGCGGUAAUAUGAUGCGGGCUAGCGUUGCUCGGAAUGACUGGCGUAAAGGGCGCGUAGGCGGUUUAUGCAGUCAGAUGUGAAAUCCCCGGGCUUAACCUGGGAACUGCAUUUGAGACGCAUAGACUAGAGGUCGAGAGAGGGUUGUGGAAUUCCCAGUGUAGAGGUGAAAUUCGUAGAUAUUGGGAAGAACACCGGUGGCGAAGGCGGCAACCUGGCUCGAUACUGACGCUGAGGCGCGAAAGCGUGGGGAGCAAACAGGAUUAGAUACCCCAGUAGUC
rnacentral:rRNA from 1 species